rnacentral:rRNA from 1 species
GAAGACGGCCACAGUAACGUGGAAACGCCUGUUCCCAUUCCGAACACAGAAGCUAAGCACGCUACGUCUUGGGUGUUAGUCUCCGAAAGGAAGCGAAGUCCGGAUGCUGUCUUCU